rfam:Ovis aries breed Texel chromosome 12, whole genome shotgun sequence.
GUCACAUCUUAAAGAAUCAGCUUUAAAGUGCCUUUCUGCAGCUUCCCAGGAGCACAAGACAGACU